AUAGUUACCUGGCAGGGGAGAUACCAUGAUCACGAAGGCGGUUUUCCCAGGGCAAGGCUUAUCCGUUCGUUGCACUCCAGAUGUGCUGACCCCUGAGAUUUCCCCAAAUGUGGGAAACUCCACUGCAUAAUUUGUGGUAGCGGGGGACUGUGUUUGCGCUCUCUCGUC
rnacentral:snRNA from 1 species